rnacentral:rRNA from 1 species
CAAGGAAUUUUCCGCAAUGGGCGAAAGCCUGACGGAGCAACGCCGCGUGUGGGAUGACGCUUUUCGGAGUGUAAACCGCUGUUCGUGGGGACGAAGCACUGACGGUACCCACGGAGGAAGGCCCGGCUAACUACGUGCCAGCAGCCGCGGUAAUACGUAGGGGUCGAGCGUUGUCCGGAGUUACUGGGCGUAAAGCGCGCGCAGGUGGCUCAUUACGCCCGGCGUGAAAGCCCCCGGCUCAACCGGGGAAGGUCGUCGGGUACGGGUGAGCUUGAGGGUAUCAGGGGCAGGUAGAAUUCCCGGUGUAGUGGUGAAAUGCGUAGAGAUCGGAGGAAUACCCGUGGCGAAGGCGGCCUGCUGGGAUACACCUGACACUGAGGCGCGAAGGCGUGGGGAGCGAACGGGAUUAGAUACCCCGGUAGUCCACGCAGUAAACGAUGCAGACUAGGCGUGGGGGGACUUGACCCCUUCCGUGCCGAAGCUAACGCAUGAAGUCUGCCGCCUGGGGAGUACGGCCGCAAGGCUA